CGGUGGUCGUGUGCCUCCCUCGGGUAUGCCUCCCACCAUCAACACCAACUCCCUCAUUCAGUUCAAUCGGACAUGCAUUGCCGCUGUCCGCUUCUCUCGUUUUCCUCUUCUCCUCUCUUGAUAGCCACACUUCCGCGCGUUCUUGUCGUUGAGCUUGUGCGCGCGUGUGCCGCUGCUUCCCUUAGUCUUUGUCCCCCCCCGGCUAUACCCGCUCGCCCGCCCCUCGCUUUCCUUGCUGCCGCUGCCGCCGCUUUUUCGACCGCCCAAGCGGCCAGUGUGGUGCUCGCGCCUCCCCGGGCCCACUGCCAAACACCGAAAACAGUGACACGUUUUCGGUCUUUUCUUUCGCCUCCUUUUUUUUAGUGCACCCCACCCUCUCUGGCCUCCGUACGCUCCGCGACUUCUUCGCACCCACCCUUUCCUUCUCUCGUGCGUCUGCCUACCCAAACACCACGCCGCACGCCUUCAUCUCUGUGUGCGUCCGUCAACAUAGAAACAGCCACGGACAAAGAAGAGGCGAGCAACGACGACGACGACGGAGGUGCAGUUGGUUCAUGUAAGGGGGUGAGGGAAUGAAUGCCAACGGUGACGAUGCAGACAACGCCGCGGCGCCUAGUCAAGGUCCGCGUCGCGUCGAAGCGCAGCAUGCCUGGCGGGGUGCGGUGCCCACAGAUGCAAGGAGAUCGGAUGCCUCAGCGGCGUUGCUAAAGACAAUACCAGAAUCGAUGGCGGCUGUUCUGUCCCCGCCAGCGCUCGUGCCGCUGCCAGCAACGGCGGCAAGUGCAAGCUCGCCGGAGAUGGGCACGAUUGCAGCCUUCUUUCCUCAGUCUACAGCGCCCCCCUCCGGCGUCUCGGACCGCGAAGCGGAUGAUAGUGGCGAGAGCAGCGCUAUCGCUAGCGCUGCAACGCCGCAGCGAAGGCGAACAGGCACCCAGGAGUGUGCCCUCAAUGCUGGCCACCGCGGCGGCUCCUCUGACCCAUCGCACCGCGCACCGCGCGCCCUCUCAGCUGGCAGGACGCCACAGCAACUCUUGCCCAACUCGGAGAGCGGCAGGGACCUCUCCUUCAUGCCCACUAGCGGUGAUGCCAUUCCGGCUUUCAGAGCUUGCCCAGGCACGGCCAGCUGCUGUGCUGGCCCGGUCACUGGGCCACUGGAAAUCCUCUCUGCAUCUACUGCGCUGACAAAACUAGGGUCUGCCUCAACGCCCCCUUUAACAUCGAGAUCGUUGCUCUCCGCGCUGCACAUCGUGAACGCGUCCACGAUGCCUGACACCCCUCUCAGCGACACACGUGCCCACCACGACACGGCUGUGGAGGGCACGCCACCGAUAGCGCCGGCAGUCCACGUUAACGGGCGGCCAGCAACACCACAGCAUAAUCAGGAGCGGCAUCAGCGACCAUUCCACACAGCCGAUCCGCAGCCUACGGCACCGGAUGCGGGCGCCGCAGGGGCGGCGAUGCCUGACACGCCAGGUCAAUGGCGGCUAUCGCAGAUGCAGUACCCAGGCCUGCAUCUAGAGCAGCGCCCCAGCCGCUUCCUCACAUCGACUCAUAAUGUAGAUGCCGCCGUGCCUCGGAUGACGGACCACAUGCUCGUCAACGCGGAGUUUUCCGCCAUGCAACUCCUGCCGGAGCGACGGGUCGAGUUGCCGAGCCGCGACACGGAAGCCGGUGGCGGUGUCGGCCGAACCGGCCCCGAAGCGCACCUACAGCAGCGAGCAAUUCGCAAUUCGGAGUCGGAGGCAGGCAUUGGCUGGCACGAUGCUGCCCAUCUCACGCCCCUCUUCCGCGCCAUUCCACCGGUGACUAGCACGUCAUUGACAGGGGCUGCGUUUCUGCAGCAGGUGCGCAUCGCCACCUCUGAGGAGCGUCGCGUGCGUCUUUUGUUCCACACUCGGCCGCGUAUCCGGCUGAGGGAUCGUCCGCGGAUUGUGACGAACCCGGUGCUCGACCGGCCAGGGUGGGUGCAGCCGCUGUGCUACCCUACUCUCUGGAUACCGUGCAUGCGCAACACCAUCUACUCGAUACCGCUAAGCACAGUGAUGCGGGCGCCAUGGGAGACGGACUUCUUCGGUUCAGCGCAGCCAAGCGUUGCGUUCUCGGCUUCCGAGACGUCGGUGCUGCCCGGCGAGCAGCCGCGACCCGACUUCAGCGGGGCUGCCCACGGCGGGUCGCGCGCAUUGGGCGCCCCGCUGACGACCGCCAUGCCGACUGCCCCAGCUUUCUACCACGUACCCAUCACGGCGCCGCGGCUAGCGCAGUCAAGUGCGCACAAUCACCGUGCUGAUAGUGAGCUCCUUCUUCACCGUAUGCCAGCCCCGCCGUCGUUGAACCCGCUGAGCGGCAUCGGUGAACGCGCAGCGGCUAACUCGCACGGCGAGCUGCUCAUCUCCAGCAUCGAGACGGCCAGCCGGCCGGUGCGGUUCGCCCACAAUUGUAGUCACCUGCUGUACCGCUGCUUCUGUGUGCGGUGCGCCAUCGCUUCCCAGAUGCAGGCGCUGCAGGCGGACGCCGAGAUACGCGGCGCUAAGAUGACACUGUUUCCGUCCUGCACCUGUCUGGGGGUGGAGUCCGAGUCGCACACCGAAAUCUUGUCCACGCUGUGUCUCCUCGACCUCUUCACGCUGGGCGCUCCGUUUGGUUGCUGCUGCUAUCAUGGACUUGGCUCCGCCUUGUACGGGUGGCACCUGCGCUACAUGCUGCGUGCGCGGUAUCGCAUCUUCGCGUGGACGUCAAUUGACCUACUCAUCAUGUGCUGCAUCCCUGGCCUUGCGCUGGAUCAGCAGGGGGCGGAGCUGUUGCUCAACGGCACGCCCGAGGCCACCGUAGGACUGCAGUUUAUGGCUUAGUGGGCCCUAGGAGGGGGGGGCGAAGCGCGAGCGGGCGCAAUCAUGCCCUGCUUCUCACUCCCCCCUCCUCUCGUGCAGUGCGCACCUGUACACAUGCAUGCGUGUGACCAUCGAGAGGUGCGGCUCACCCUCGAAUAAGACAACGACAUGUGUGCAGUUCGGCGGUGUCGCGCAGGAUAAUGAACGUAUACAUACGCGUGCGCGCGUGUUGGAUGCUUUUUGAUGGAUUUGGCAUCCCUUGGCGCCAGUGAGCGCAUUGAAAUGAUAGCGCGGAGAAGAGAAGCGCCGUGAUAAGGGUUUGAGGGAGGGGGAGGGGUGGUGGUCGUGGUGGGGGUGGUGCGUACUCAGACGUAAGGGUGAUGUGUGUGCAUUUCCGCCAGCACUUCCCUCAUAUCUCUCUCAUGUCUGCCUCCCGCGCUUUUUCUUCCUCUCCAAGUGUGUGGGGGCUGGAUGGAGGCACUGUCUAGGCCGUCGCCCUGGCUGGGUAUUGCGCGGCACCCCAACACACCCCAACGCGGCUUUUUGCUUCCGUCUGUCUGUCUGCUUGUAUGUAUGUAUAUCAUCUGUGCGUUGUUGCACGCUCGGUUCUGGUUUCUGCCGUUGCCGAUUCUCGCCGUCUUCGGCCAUGGAUGCGCUGGUGUGUGGCGGAUGUCCUCAUGGCGCGUUGUUUCUUGUACGCCUGAUCAUGCUUUCCUUUGUGCUCGCGUGUGCUUUUUCUCGUGUUCGCUGUCGUACACGCGUAGCUGCGCGUUCUUUCUUAUUUUGCUCAUGUGCAGAUGCAUGCGCAUGUGCGCGUGGGCCUGUGUCUGUCGGCGGGCCCGCGACCUGUGCUGGCCUUUGUCGGCCCCUCCCUUUCCGAACUUGCACACUAUGUAAUAAGCUUUUCCUUCUCCCCUCUAUGCAUGUGUGUGUGUGCGCUUCUUUUUCACGUUUUCGUUGCGGUUGCACCGCUGCCUCCCCCUCCCCCUCCACACACACACACACACACACACACAUGCCCUACGCCCCACCUCUUCGGUGUUGCUCUCUCUCGCUGACGCACACAG
rnacentral:misc_RNA from 1 species